GUUGCCUUCAGGUACAGACCUCCCUUGCAAAAAAGAUCUGUGAUCUCAGUGGGAUUUUCCUUUUUAAAUAAUAAAGGUAAACAGUUUUCUCCAAGGGACUCCUUCAGUCUGAGGAGUUGCAGGGAAACUCAGCUUCAUAAGCAAUACAUUCCCAAACUUUUAGUAUGUUUUUAGUAUAACCCAAGUAUAUGUAACAUGAACUUUGUUCGGUAUUUCUGUUAUGUACAUAAGACGUAAUCUAAAAGUAUACUCUUAUUUUUCAGUUUAAAAUUAGUGUACUUAAAGGACACAUGUACAUGCUGUGUCACUAUCUCCCUGCUGCCAGUGAAAUGGCUUUUAAUAAGGAGAUUAAACAAUAGGACUGUAGUAGUAGGGAUGCAUCAAUAUAAAAAACGACCAGACCACUGACAUGGCUCUCUACUUCAGUUACUUCUGGCUGUGCCAUUAUUAUUGUUAUCAUGAUCAAACACAACCAUUUCCCUUCCCGAAACAGAAACACAAACUGCAACAAGUGGGAAAUCAAUAUCGGACAUUAAUAUUGUGUCAUGAAUUAAGCCUGUUCUCUGCCAAGUCAAGUCACAGCCAAGCCUUCACUCAUUGUCUCACCCCUCCCGUCACAGAAAAAUCCAAUCAGCGUCAUGUCACUCACCUGUUCACAGCAGUAUUUAAACUCCACUCUCCCACAUCACCAGUGCCAGAUUUAUGAACGGUUUUUCCUAGUAGUUAUCCAGCAUCCAUGUCACGUCUUGCCUGCCUCGUUACGACCUUGAUUUUGCUCUCUGGAUUCACGCUCCUUGCCUCAUCCCUUAACGGUACUGUAUCGGACUCUGAUCUCCUGGUUUUGACCCACGCACUCCUCUCUGGACCUCUACCUCCCGUCGCUUCCCCUGUCGGACCUGUUCAGUCAUCUGUCUCCCGGAUUCUGACCCACGCCUGUGUACACCGACCACGAGUAAAGUCCAGCCCUCAGUACCUGUCUCGGAUCUCUGACCACAUGUGUAAGACCCAAGACUGCCUCACGGAAAAACCCAGAGUUCGUAAACUCACUCAAGCCUCGCAACCCGGAAGUGCUUUCACCGGACUUCAUCCAAGACUCUCAAAGUCUUUUAAGAGUGCUGUUGGGACGUCCUGUACUCUAAAAAAAACUCCUGAUUCCUGUGACGUUCGCUUCCAGAUCCAGCUGUUUACAUUUUAAUAAAAACCUUAAAACUA